AUUGAACGCUGGCGGCAGGCCUAACACAUGCAAGUCGAGCGGAUGAAGGGAGCUUGCUCCUGGAUUCAGCGGCGGACGGGUGAGUAAUGCCUAGGAAUCUGCCUGGUAGUGGGGGAUAACGUCCGGAAACGGGCGCUAAUACCGCAUACGUCCUGAGGGAGAAAGUGGGGGAUCUUCGGACCUCACGCUAUCAGAUGAGCCUAGGUCGGAUUAGCUAGUUGGUGGGGUAAAGGCCUACCAAGGCGACGAUCCGUAACUGGUCUGAGAGGAUGAUCAGUCACACUGGAACUGAGACACGGUCCAGACUCCUACGGGAGGCAGCAGUGGGGAAUAUUGGACAAUGGGCGAAAGCCUGAUCCAGCCAUGCCGCGUGUGUGAAGAAGGUCUUCGGAUUGUAAAGCACUUUAAGUUGGGAGGAAGGGCAGUAAGUUAAUACCUUGCUGUUUGGACGUUACCAACAGAAUAAGCACCGGCGAACUGCGG
rnacentral:rRNA from 1 species